ACUUUAAAUAGCUGUUAUUCUUGACUCCCUUAUAGGUGACGCUUGCCAGUUCCUACAGGAAUAGAAUUUUUUUUUUUCUCCAUGCAUGUUUUUCAGAUAGUUCUUUGUUCAACAUUUUUCUUUCCUGGUUUUACCAAGCCCAUUCACCGUAGGAUGAUUUGCAGAUAACCAGCUCUUCAAAAGAAAGAUGCUUUCAAAUGAGG